CACGUAGGGCGCAAGCGUUGUCCGGAAUUAUUGGGCGUAAAGGGCUCGUAGGGCGUCUGUCACGUCGGGAGUGAAAACUCGGGGCUUAACCCCGAGCCUGCUUCCGAUACGGGCAGACUAGAGGUAUGCAGGGGAGAAUGGAAUUCCUGGUGUAGCGGUGAAAUGCGCAGAUAUCGGGAGGAACACCGGUGGCGAAGGCGGUUCUCUGGGCCUGUACUGACGCUGAGGAGCGAAAGCGUGGGGAGCGAACAGG
rnacentral:rRNA from 1 species